rnacentral:tRNA from 4 species
UCCGCGGUAGCUCAACCGGUAGAGCGGGUGGCUGUUAACCACUAGGUCGUAGGUUCGAAUCCUACCCGCGGAGCCA